GGGUGUAGCAAUACAUGCCGGCGAGUGGCAGACGGGUGAGGAACACGUACACAACCUCCCUUUUACUGGGGCACAACUCCGAGAAAUCGGGGCUAACUCCCCAUAACAUCCCGAUGUGGCAUCAUAACGGGAUUAAAACUCAGGUGGUAAGAGAUGGGUGUGCGUCUGAUUAGCUAGUUGGUGAGGUAACGGCUCACCAAGGCAACGAUCAGUAACUGGUGUGAGAGCACGACCAGUCACACGGGCACUGAGAUACGGGCCCGACUCCUACGGGAGGCAGCAGUAAGGAAUAUUGGUCAAUGGACGCAAGUCUGAACCAGCCAUGCCGCGUGAGGGAUGAAGGUCCUCUGGAUAGUAAACCUCUUUUAUCAGGGAAGAAAUGUCUCGUUUCUACGGGAUUUGACGGUACCUGAGGAAUAAGCACCGGCUAACUCCGUGCCAGCAGCCGCGGUAAUACGGAGGGUGCAAGCGUUAUCCGGAUUUACUGGGUUUAAAGGGUGCGUAGGCGGGUUGAUAAGUCAGGGGUGAAACCUCCGAGCUUAACUCGGAAACUGCCUUUGAUACUAUCAGUCUUGAAUUCAGUUGAGGUGGGCGGAAUGUGUCGUGUAGCGGUGAAAUGCUUAGAUAUGACACAGAACACCAAUUGCGAAGGCAGCUCGCUAAACUGACAUUGACGCUGAGGCACGAAAGCGUGGGGAGCAAACAGGAUUAGAAACCCUGGUAGUCCACGCCCUAAACGAUGAUUACUCGAUCUGUGCGAUACACUGUACGGGUCUAUGCAAAAGCAUUAAGUAAU
rnacentral:rRNA from 1 species